rnacentral:tRNA from 1 species
GGGGUUGUGGCUCAAUGGUAGAGCGCUUGCCUAAUAUGUGCAGGGCGCUAGGUUCGAUCCUUAGCACCACCC